ensembl:lncRNA
GGAAAUUUACAUCUCUUUGAAUGUGACGCUUAGAAAAAGAGAGCAGGGAAGAAGGAAGAGGAGGAAAAAAGAAGAUAGGGAGGGCAGCGGAGGAAGCAGGAGCUGAUAACAUAUGCAGUUUAUUCUAAGCAUGCUGAUUUGUGUCAGUGCAGCAGAGAAGAAGACGAGUGGAUGGAGGAGAAAUCGGUAAGGAAAAACCCGGGGCCUUAUCUCACCUUUCACCGUAGAAGCCGUCCUGCUGGUGUGAUGCUAUUCUUUGGUAAAAGAGGCUGGAGGACGGCAAGAACCAAGAGAAAAGGCACCUUUAACCUGCUCCUGCUGGACUGCAGAGCUGACGGAGUGUGUGUGCAGCACAGACAGAUGGAGGAGCCCGCAGCAGGGUGAGUUUUUCUUUUAACUUUGGAGUUAUCAGAGAGAAUAGACUCUCCGCACCUCCGUUCCUCCGCCUGUUUGCCCACAUCGCUCUCUUUUUGUCUACUCCUCGCUCCGCUCGUGUGUAAUUAAGUCGGCCGCAGAUAAUUUAUGCGCUGAUAUCUCCAUUGGUUGCUGGCAUUCCUGCGAAAACCCUCAAAAAUGUUUCUUUAAUUGGAUCCUAUUGGCAGCACCCUCUUUGCCUUCUAACAUUUACCAUAUGAAAUUUUUAGAUUGGUAAAUAUUUCCUCCAGUGGAUCAUCAUAUUGGGUUGCGUUUCCCCCUGAUGCUGACAUUUGCUGAUAGUUUCAUGUCGUUUUCAACAUUGGACCAUUUCCUUUCAUUUUCUUCUAUAUGUUAUGAUUGUCUGCAGGUGACGUGGAGAAGAAACCAAUGAAAUUAGCAGUGAAGAGAAAGCUAAAUGUCAGAAUCUUCUGUGUUCUUUCAAAGCAAUUAUUCCUUAAUGAAAUAAAGCUGCA